rnacentral:rRNA from 1 species
CCUACGGGAGGCAGCAGUGGGGAAUAUUGCACAAUGGGCGCAAGCCUGAUGCAGCCAUGCCGCGUGUAUGAAGAAGGCCUUCGGGUGGUAAAGUACUUUCAGCGGGGAGGAAGGGAGUAAAGUUAAUACCUUGAUCAAUGACG